rnacentral:rRNA from 1 species
GACGAACGCUGGCGGCGUGCCUAAUACAUGCAAGUCGAACGCAGUGGGGACGGGUGAGUAACACGUGGGUAACCUCCCAUCAGAGGGGAUAACACUUGGAAACAGGUGCUAACACGAUACUGAUGGAUGGACCCGCGGUGCAUUAGCUAGUUGGUGAGGUAACGGCUCACCAAGGCCGAGAUGCAUAGCGUACCUGAGAGGGUGAUCGGCCACACUGGGACGGAGACACGGCCCAGACUCCUCCGGGAGGCAGCAGUCGGGAAUCUUCGGCAAUGGACGAAAGUCUGACCGAUCAACGCCGCGUGAGUGAGGAAGGUUGUCGGAUCGUAAAACUCUGUUGUUAGAGAAGCGUUAUCUAACCAGAAAGCCACGGCUAACUACGUGCCAGCAGCCGCGGUAAUUC